CGUAUAUCGCCAACACCGUGAUGGCGGAGGCACUACCUCAGCCCGACAUGUCGCACCUCACCCCCGAGGAGAGGCGCAUUAUAGAGGGUGUUUUAAUGCGCCAAAAGGAGGAGGAGGAACAGGAUCAUGAGAUUAUGAGACGAAAGCAAGAUGAAGUGCAGACCCUCGAAGAAACGAUACGGAUGCGUUCGGAAAAACACAAAAAGGCCGGGGUUGAACUUAACGCCACAUGUCACAUAUGCCUGAAAACCAAGUUUGCCGAUGGCAUCGGUCACAUCUGCACCUAUUGCAAAACUCGAUGCUGCGCACGCUGUAGCGGAAAGGUCACUUUACGGUCAACCAAGGUGGUAUGGAUGUGCGUACUUUGCAAGAAGAAGCAGGAACUUCUUUCGAAGACCGGACAAUGGAUGACGAGGCCGGGCCUCGCCGUGGACAACGCGAUGAUGCGGCAAAUGCAGGAAGACUUGCAGGUGGGUGGUCGUCAGGGACUCGCGGACCAAACUCGGGAUAAAAGACCGAAACUCGAGAGGGCGCACAGCGCGGCUGAGAAAGAGAAUUUGCCGUUAUUACAGAGAAGCGGAAACUGUCCUCUCAGGAGACAGUACUCCCAGCAAGAGCAGAUCUCGGGUCGCCGGAUGUCCACGAGCGACAGUGGGGUAGAAAUGUCUGUUUCACCUCACGCGAGAACUUUACCGACACCGCACGUGGUUGGGUCUUACCCGAUGCAACAAAUUCCGAGGCAUCCUGCAGCCUAUCCUGACGACGAUCCCAAUUUAUAUCGAGGCGAGCUUGACGGUCUGAUGAAACAACAUCCGCAGAACUAUUCGAGACAACGAUUGACUUAUCAAGAUCAGGGUACAGACCUCGGAAUGACUUACGGUCAGACACCGAUGGAGACUGGCUCCGUUCGUUCUGCAAUGCAUCCCUCGCAGCAUUCGUUGCAUCAGACGCAGGGCGGACGUUCUGCUCAACCUACGUCAACAGUGGGCGUCACGCAACAAAGAAGUUUCAGUAGCAGCGAGGAAGAGCGAAGCACACCGGAGUGCGCCAGUGACGAGCCGGACGAAUCGGAGAAGGGGCAAAAGCCGCCGCCACUAGGGAUGACUUCCAGGGGUACGCGAGAGAAGGCGACAGACAGAAUGAAUCGGCAAUUCCCCGCGCAUCCAUUAUCCUGGCAAGCGAGCGAAGACGGUCAGAAGAUCAUCGGCCACAUGGUUUUACGAAAAUCGGCCGGUUCCGGAAGCUGUAGUAGUAUACUCGGACUAAAAGUUGUCGGUGGCAAGCUAUUAGAAGAUGGUUCCAUGGGCGCUCUGAUCGAGAAAGUGAAAAAGGGUAGCACGGCGGACGUAGAAGGUCAACUUAGACCCGGUGACGAGGUGAUCGCAUGGAAUGGAAGGUCCCUUCAAGGCAAAAGCUUCCGAGAGGUUUACGACAUCAUCGCCGAAUCGAGGUUGGAGCCACAGAUUGAGCUCAUAGUUGAGAGAAAGUUAUCGACAAUGGGUAUGGCGCCUGCAGGACCGGGCCCAUCGACGCCCAUGACAUCCAGGAGAAUUGUUGCUCAGAGCCAGUGGAGACAGAAACACGAAACCAUCUCCGGGCCUCCGACGCCGCACCACAAAGGUCUUAAGAAAUGCUUACUAUGGGUGACGUCGCCGGGCUCGCCGGACCUGUACGCCCAAGGACGCAGUCGACACUCCCGACAUCCGACUGGAAAUGUGAACGUGGGCGGCAGCAUCCAGGUGAAGCUGGGCUUCGAUCCCGUGGGACUUCAGCUGAUUGUCACGAUAAUAUGCGCCGCGGGACUCACCCCAAAGAGCAACGGCCAACCUAGAAAUCCUUACGCCAAAGUUUUUCUGCUUCCUGAUAAAAGCGAAAAAUCGAAACGACGUACGAAGACUGUGGCAAACACGAACGAUCCCAGAUGGAAUCAGACUUUUGUUUAUAAUGGAGUCAGACGUUCGGACCUGAGGAAAAGAGCACUGGAAAUUACGGUUUGGGACUACGCUAGGUACGAGGCGAACGAUUUCCUCGGCGAGGCUGUCCUGGAAUUGGCAGUAUGUCUCCUGGACGAGGAACCAGAAUGGCAUUCUCUGACCGCUCACGGAGAACACCGGCACGUUAGGCAUUACCAAGAUGAUGACAUGAUAGAUUGUCAUCUUAGUCCGCCAUCGACCACCUCGAGAUUAAGUGACUCUGACACCUCGGAGUGCGACAUUACGGAUUGUGACGUGUCUAGAGAACAGAGGAGAACGGCUGACGGUGCUAGCAUAAGCAGUAUUGGCAGUUCCUCUAGGUUUCAUAAUAUGCCGUCAAAUUAUAAGCGCCACUAUUCUAGCCCACCGCCGGAGAGGGAACUCUGCAUCGAUGGUGAGCAUCGGAGUCGAAGAGAUAUGUCACCUCAGGGACGCAAAAGGGCAGCCCUAAUGAUUUCUCAUGACCAACCCGCUACUAUCAGUUCGAGUUACCAGACAUAUCGUAAAGACGAGAUCCAUCGGGGAAUGAUGGGUCACAGGUCGCACAGCGCGGCACCUAUGGAUUCUCCAAGCAUUAGAUAUCGAGGAAGGUCUCAGAGUCCCACCGGUCAUCGUUCCUUAUCUCCACCCGAGCAUAGAUCCAUUCCCUACUCGCACGGAUACGUUCAUACGACAAGAUUCGGCUCGAGAUCGGCGACCGCCACACCUACUGGAUCGCCAAAGAAACGUCAGCUACCUCAAAUCCCGGCAGCUUUAAAGGAAAGAGUCACGCAAGAUUUUGAGGAACGAGCAAGAUUCAUGAGACAUCGCAACAGACAGUCGAUAUACAGGAGCACUGGUUGGGAAAGGCAUUAUAGUGGCCUUUCGGACUCGGAUCUUCCUUCAAUCGGACACGAUCCAUUAACAUUGUCACACAGUCACGCUCACAGAAUGCACAGGCCGAGGAGGGGGCAUUUAAGUCCCGACAAAGAUGUAUUGGGUGAUCUUGGAGAUUCUGACAUGGAAAGCAUAGCUUCGGUAACGAGCAGUGCCUUUAGUACGCAAUCGGAACGACCACGUGGAUCGAGAGCGCUAAUGCCAGGGGCCGUCGGUCUGCUAUCGCGCCGGGCCAAGAGUUUCGAGUACGAGAGCAUUUCGAGCAACAUAUUCAGCGACGACAGUCUCAGGACGGCCAGAAGAAAACUCAAGCGGAAUCUCUCUCUCAGCGAUGCCGGGUAUGGUGACAAGAUACCUGCGCUGGACGAUCAGAGCAAAUCCUACUACGAUUCUAACGGUGACGACAAAGUGCCUACGAGUCUCACGAAUAAAGAGACAAAUUACGAUUUUCUGCUCGAUCAGGACCACAAACCGUUUUAUGGAUAUGACUCGGAAUUUAGUUGCGGCGAAACGGAGAUUUACGUUCCCAGUUUCGACAAGCAGAAGACCGAGACCGACGAUUAUCAAGCUUCUUAUAGUUCCCAUUUAACGGAAGACAAUGGUCUCUUUAGUGACAACGAUCGUGCUAAUCUCAGGAAUGUUCUGGACAAGGAUGAUAUUAAUAAGAAAAAAUACAUGGAUGGAAGUUACUUGAAUCACGACACUUCGUAUAUUAGGGAUAUAUCUCCAGGAACAAGAACCAAGAAAGUAGACAGCGAUCUUCGUACUUCGAUUGGUGAUAUCUAUAGUAAUAUUGAGGAAACUUUUUCGUCUAAUAAAAAUUAUAAUCGUGAUAUUCUCGCGAGAUCCGCCACAAAAAUCCACGAUGUCACAAAAUCUACUAACAUGGAUGAGUGGAUGUCGAAGGACGUAAAAGGUGUCCUGCGGUCUCAUGGAGCAACUGGUCGUUCUUAUCAAGAGGAUAGGUAUAAGACUCGCGAGAACUGGGACACUGAUUACGACGAAGGAUUUAUAGAUCGGGAAAAGGACUACGAACAGAAGCAGUUUAGUUACCUAGACAAAGGCAUUUGUGCCUUAAGAACUAGUGGAUCAGUGCGCGAAGGUGAAUAUUUUCAUGAUGUAACGAAACGUUCUUGUGCUGUUCAGGGAAAAUGUUAUGCACUAUCUGAUGAUGAUGACAAAAAGUUCACGAUGGACGAUUACAUCAGUUUUCGUUCGUCCGACGAUUACAAUUAUUGGACUACGCACAGUAAGGCGGAAACAUACGAAGAUGGAUUUGUGCCGCGAAGACGAAGGCGAAGAAAUAGGAGAGGUAGUAGAGAUGGAGGCGCAGGUGACUACGAGAUCCUGCCACGGAUCAGAGACGUGUCAGGCGCUCAAUCGAGAAUGGAGAGCAAGAAAUUGAUGACAAUCCAACGUACGGAGUCUACGCCAACCCUACACUCAGACGAAGACGUGAAUUCGCUUGCAGACCGUGCUAGACGUAUUUAUCGUCGCAAGCGAAAUAGCAGUUGUCCAGAGAGUAGAGAUCUACGAAUGUAUGGUCCGCGAGGAAACGGUGAGAGAACUGUACUGGAGUCUGACGAGGAGUUCGGAUCGAUGGAGACGGUAGUCGGCGCUGAUUAUUUCCGUCGUACUUCGGGCUACGUGGCGAAUGCUAGAGCAAACGACGGCAUUAGAUCGGGCUUCUUUGACGCGGAACAAGAUCGUGAUAGCUACUUAGACGCAAGAUACGAUCAUGAGGACCGAUAUCAGGAUCGCAGUUAUCCGAUGGCACGCGGGCUAGUUAGGUCAGGGUCGCAACGUUCUUCGAAUCGCGAUGCGCGAUACAUAUCGCGCGCUAGGCGUAAGAGUAGUUGCCCGGAGUGUCGUGAGCUAGCACUGUCCUCCUCGGAGUUAGGUAGGUCGGGAUCGCUAUCGCGAAAGGGUGACGAUCUUCGGCGUUCAUCGUUAGAGACGAAGCAUAGAUAUCGUAGGCGGAACAGCAGCUGUCCGGAGGCUAGGGAUCUCGAAAUGCUCGAGAAGAGGCAGCGUCAGCAGCAAUUCAUGCAGUUCCAUCAGCAGCAACAGCGGCACUCAAGUCAGCAGUAUCAGCAGCAACCGCAGCAGCAACGGCAGCAUCAGCAGCAGCAAGCGCAACACCAGCAACCGCAGGGAAGUAGUAAGAGGAACGUGGCGAUCAGCGACACCCUCGAGUACUACGAGUACUCGAUGGAGAGCGAGAGCCAGUGCAGCGAGAACUGCGGAUUUGGCCCGUGCGAUCCGCGUAGGCCCCGUAACCGAGCACCCCGCCCUGGUAACGCUAAUUCGAGUCUCUUUGAUUCCCAAACCGCUACCUCCGACACUGCUAAAAACUACCACCCACGGAUCAACGAUCAUCACCACCAACACCCACAAAACACGAAAACGUCGCCGCUCGCCAAUGUCGCCGAUGUGGCGUCGACGUUUCUGCCACCGUUGCCGCCGUCAUCCUUGUCGUCCGCUCGACGACGAUCCCGAAAAAAAUCCGCUUACGACGUCGACGUCGUCGCCGAUCGUCGCGACGACGACGACGCUCGGAAUCGUCGUUCUUCAUCUAUGCCCGAAAGCAGCGAGUACACCAGUCAGUCGAGUUCGUACGAGAAGACGUCCAGACGCCAGGUCACCGACAAUGGCCAUGACGAGCAUGAUAAGAGAAGUCAGUUCACCAGAAGUCUCAGUAAUGCCGAUGUGCCGCAAGACGAGAAAGACACGGGUAGUUUCAGCGAUACUGCGAUUGCAUUGAACGUUGAAGAAGCAACGAGAAGAGGUCGUAAGAGCUCGCCAGGAAGUAAAAGCGGAAGUGGCAGCAGUAGCGGAAGCGCGGUGCAGUACCAAGCGGGUUUGAGCAAGAAGAGCAAUAGUACCAGCCAAUUAUCUGCGACAGAGUGCGGCGGGAUGAUCAUCAGCAUUGGUGGAAGUGCCGGCGCCGUGGCACGCGGUGCCGGUUUAUCGAACCGGAAACGUAACAGCACGCCGUGCAGCAUACAACGAUCCGAGGAGAUCAUGCCGGCCUACCAGCGCUUUGACAACAAAGGAUCUGCAGCCAGCGAUACCGCCGGAAGUCUCAACUCGAUUUCUAGUUCCGAAGGAAGCUCUUGGUCUCCCAGCCUGCGAAUGGCAGGCGAUGGGCAGUUGAGAAAUUUCAUUGAAGAUCUCGGACCAGGCCAAGUGGUCGGAAGACAAGCACUCGCUACCCAUUGCCUCGGCGAGAUUCAACUAUCAUUGAGCCAUACGAAGGGUUACCUUGAAGUAGAGGUCAUACGUGCCAAAGAACUCAAAGCGAAACAAGGCAGUAAAGUAAUACCAGCUUCUUACGUAAAGUUGUAUCUGGUGAACGGUAAAAGAUGUAUAGAGAAAGCGAAAACCACGACGGCUAGAAAAACGUUGGAUCCAUUCUAUGGUUCGCAAUUAUUGGCUUUCAAAGAAAACUGCCGAGGUUGUAUAUUACAGGUGACAGUAUGGGGAGACUACGGUCGGAUAGAGGGAAAAAAAGUGUUCAUGGGUAUUGCACAGAUCAUACUGGAUGAGCUGGACCUCAAUCAGAUGGUGAUCGGAUGGUACAAGCUGUUUGACACCCAAGCCCUGGUCAGUGGAGCUUCAUCUCUUGCUUUGUCCCGUCGAUCUUCGGUUACGUCUCUCGAUUCUUUUAAAAUCUAAAAGAAUGACUGCCCGAAGAACGUACCGAAAUAUUCCUUUUAUACAUAUUUACUGAAGAGAUCUUUAAGUUUCUUGCAGUAGACAAAGUAGCGCAGACACAAUUGAGUCCUAUCGAGCUCCUAUCGCGAUGCACCCAGUCGCUUUUAUCAUUAACAGAAUACUGAAAUGCACGAGUCUCGAUGUACAAGAUAGUAUUACAUUUAUUUUAAUUGAUUAAAUAAUAGAACAUGUAUGGAAAUUAUUAUAAACGUUUAGUAUUAUAAAUGUCUUUAACAACUUAAGUAACACGUAUAAAAUCAUUGCUUGAUGAUAUUAAAUGUAGUAUUAAAUAAAUAUAUUAGGAGAUAGAGAGUUUGGAUUACUACGUCCAUCGUAAUAAAAAAUUGAAAGAAGUGUUUAAGUAAUUCUCUACCGUGUUGUAAUAUUACAUAUUCUUCACUAUGGUUGACAGAAUUGAAAAGAAUCUUAUACAUCCUACACGCGUAUUCCCCGUAGGCUAUUAAUGUCGAAGCCUAAAGCUAUUUAACGAGUGACGUUCGGCUCUGAAUACGGUAAAGUCAGUUUAACGAACAAUAUAUAACGAGGAAUAUACAGUAUGAAAAGUGCGAUUGUAUACGGAUAAUAAAAAAUUCUGCGAAAUCGGAAUGAAAACGAGAGAUAUAAGCAAUGCAAAGGCGAUGCGAGAAUGUGAAAAGAGUGAAAAAACGUACGAAAGGAUGUCUUUCUAGAAACACCACUAGUACAUAUAAUGUACGGCAUAUCAGACGAGCCACUAGUCUGUAUGUAGACUAGAUGUAGACGUAGCAGCCAUGUUCCCGGAGCGCCAGAUAGUUUUAGUGAAAACAAAUUAAAUCCAGUAAGUUCAGGAUAGAUGUGAACUCAAAUGUGGUGUACUAGAUAAAUAAGAUGUGAAACGGUCAAUGACACUCGUUUUCAGUGAAUCUAAAUGUGGUUAAGUGAAUAAUGAAAUUCAUGAAUACAGUGAGAAAUAUGCGAUAAAUGGAUAAAUCACGGACUUCAUUUAAACAGCAUGUGAGAGAGAUUUAAAGUAUUGAAACAUUCCAAAUGAGAAGACAUUUCCAAACUUUGUAUAUAAUUUAGGACAGUUCAAGUAUGUCGAUCUCCGAAACGAUCGGCUAAAAGACAUUUAUCGUUGUCAAAUUUUUAGUCAAAAAUGUCACCGUCAGAGCAUAUAUUAUUUAAUGUAAAUAUUAUACUAUAACACUGAUAUGAGAAUUUGCGAUAUGUGCGCGCAAGUUUGAAUGGGUAAUGAUUUACUUUAUAUUCUCGUUGACUUUCUAUGAUGAUUGUCGCUAUAGUUUUUUUCUUAAUUACACAAACUCGAUCUAAUUUAACAUUUUCUAAGUUAGUAUCGGAAUCAUUAGAAUGUACGAUGAUAUAAUUAAUUACACAAUUUGUUCCUUGAAUACUGAUAUUUAUUGGUAUCGUAUUAGCACGUAUUACUUGGCUUUUUAAAUAUCGUUUAGUAAUGUGUUCAAAAAGAAAAGAGAUAAUUAUUAUGAUGUAGAAAAUAUGGAACAGGAAUAUGUACUAUAUUUCUCAAGUACGAAGCAGACUGAUAAAUCGAUUCCUAUACAUCUAGUUUGGAUCUUUUUGUUGAAUUAGCAGUCUCAAAGCCAGAAUGAAAUAUACCCGAACGAUUACGAAUCAGCUUUGUUUGAAAGCUUUGUUUGGAAGAUUUUAUUCGCGUAUAAGAACCAGUUUUCGAAACAAAUUGAAAAAAAUAAAACCGCCCAUAUAACUCGCGUAAACGGGACGCGUCGCGGCAAAAAUUCUCUUUCGUACUGAUUUUGUACAAAAACAGUGAAAUGCCACUAAAUAUUUAAGAGGCUUUGUAAAUCUCUGUAAGAAGCGCGUAAAAGAAAUGCUUGCCAUUAAUUUUAUAUCUUAAUUAUCGUGCUAUGUGUUCGAUCUUUCUUCGUGCGUAUCUUGAAUACUCGCGAAGAUAUAUUCAGCGAGCAUGCACAUGCACGUCUGCUGUGAAUUAGUAAAUAAUUACAUUUGUGCUCUCUGAGAGAGAGGGAGGGGAGGAAGAGAGAGAGAGAGAGAGAGAGAGAGAGAGAGAGAGAGAGAGAGAGAGAGAGAGAGAGAGAGAGUGAAAGAGCAUUACCUUUUGUGAAGUUUUUAAGAUUUAGCAUGAAAACUUCGUGUAAAAAAUAACAUUUCAAUUUAAUUAUAGUGCAUGAGAUUUGGAAAACGAGGGUAAGUCUGAAAAGGAGCAAGUUUUCAAUAUUUUUCAGGUAUUAUUGAGAGUUACACUUUUGCGAGUUGACACGAAUACGAAAAUUAGAAAAAUCACUGAGCAAAGUUUCUUUGUAAGUCUUGUUAAUAAUCUCAUGAAGUAAGCUUUUUAUGUGACAUACCUUAAAUUACAAAUCAUUGUAUAGUUGAAAGGUACUCCUUGGAUAUUAUCGAUAAAAUUGACAAAUGGAAUGCAAGCUUCAAUGUAUAUGGCUAUUACGUAUAUUUUUGUAAAUCUACGAUUUACUAUAAAAAUUCGCUAGAGAUAUAGGUUUGAAUGUAGAAAAAUUUCUAUAAUUCGCGUCACAUUUCUUGUAUCACUAAAGACUAACAUCCAGCGACAUUAAUGUCGAUGCUCUUUUAUCACAAAUUCUUACUAUGAUUGACCAAGUAUAAUAUUUUGCUUUGCAAUUUGAAACGAUUGUCUCACACAUCUCGCACUCGUGUUUCUGCUCUCCGUUAUAUCAAUAUUUCUACGCAAUUUCUAUCGCAACGCGAUCUUUAAGGUAAGAUCGAGAUAAUGCUAGCGCGGAGUAUGAUACGCGUGCUGAGAUUAUAUCGAAAUGUCAUCGAAAUACAUACAGUCCGUCGUUAAGUGAGUUAUGACGUAAGACUUAACUUAGAAUUUGACAAACGAAAUAACAAAUACCGUUAAUUUACAGAUGAACUAUGUAGAUGUCACCGAUAAUCCGAUUGUUCACGAUAAAUCCUAGGUAACGUAACUUUCUCGUAAUCGGGGGACCGAUCGAGCUUUAGGGAAUGGUGGAAUUGUAUAAAAGGGUGGUAUCUUAUCAUAUCUAUAAUAUGCUUAUAUUAGAGACGUACAGCAAAAAGAAAGAAGCUUUUUUACUCGUGAGAAAAUAAAGACAGAAAAGUAGAGUUCUAUCCAAAGACAAAGAUAUGUAUAUGUAAAGUACUGUGAAAAAAAAGAUAUUACUGUAAGCUGAUUUCUAAGUACAUAUUUUGCAAGUGCACGAACUUAUUAAGAUCGUGGGACGACAUAUAUACAAGCAUAAUUCUGUAAUAGUUAAUUAAUAAAAUAUACAAGACUACUAGAUAAAAACUCUUCUGUUUGUAACGCGUCGUUUACAGACGGUUGUAUAAGAUUCUUCGCGAAAUUGAUUCGACACUCGUCUCUUCGUGAGCUGUUUCUUGCGUUUUCGA
rnacentral:misc_RNA from 1 species